rnacentral:rRNA from 1 species
GAGUUUGNNNCNNGCUCAGAUUGAACGCUGGCGGCAGGUUNNAAACCUGCNAGUCGAGCGGCAGCGGGAAAGUAGCUUGCUACUUUUGCCGGCGAGCGGCGGACGGGUGAGUAAUGCCUGGGGAUCUGCCCAGUCGAGGGGGAUAACUACUGGAAACGGUAGCUAAUACCGCAUACGCCCUACGGGGGAAAGCAGGGGACCUUCGGGCCUUGCGCGAUUGGAUGAACCCAGGUGGGAUUAGCUAGUUGGUGAGGUAAUGGCUCACCAAGGCGACGAUCCCUAGCUGUUCUGNUUUGAUGAUCAGCCAUACUUGGANCUGAUUACGGUCCACACUCCUACUUUUAUGCAGCAUUGGGGAACCCCCCCAAUG